GAUGAACGCUGGCGGCGUGCCUAAUACAUGCAAGUCGAGCGAAUGGAUUAAGAGCUUGCUCUUAUGAAGUUAGCGGCGGACGGGUGAGUAACACGUGGGUAACCUGCCCAUAAGACUGGGAUAACUCCGGGAAACCGGGGCUAAUACCGGAUAACAUUUUGAACCGCAUGGUCCGAAAUUGAAAGGCGGCUUCGGCUGUCACUUAUUGAUGGACCCGCGUCGCAUUAGCUAGUUGGUGAGGUAACGGCUCACCAAGGCAACGAUGCGUAGCCGACCUGAGAGGGUGAUCGGCCACACUGGGACUGAGACACGGCCCAGACUCCUACGGGAGGCAGCAGUAGGGAAUCUUCCGCAAUGGACGAAAGUCUGACGGAGCAACGCCGCGUGAGUGAUGAAGGCUUUCGGGUCGUAAAACUCUGUUGUUAGGGAAGAACAAGUGCUAGUUGAAUAAGCUGGCACCUUGACGGUACCUAACCAGAAAGCCACGGCUAACUACGUGCCAGCCGCCGCCGUAA
rnacentral:rRNA from 1 species